rnacentral:rRNA from 1 species
GUGGGGAAUCUUGCGCAAUGGGCGAAAGCCUGACGCAGCCAUGCCGCGUGGAUGAUGAAGGUCUUAGGAUUGUAAAAUCCUUUCACCGGUGAAGAUAAUGACUGUAGCCGGAGAAGAAGCCCCGGCUAACUUCGUGCCAGCAGCCGCGGUAAUACGAAGGGGGCUAGCGUUGCUCGGAAUUACUGGGCGUAAAGGGCGCGUAGGCGGACAGCUUAGUCAGAGGUGAAAGCCCAGGGCUCAACCUUGGAAUUGCCUUUGAUACUGGCUGUCUUGAGUUUGGGAGAGGUGAGUGGAACUCCGAGUGUAGAGGUGAAAUUCGUAGAUAUUCGGAAGAACACCAGUGGCGAAGGCGACUCACUGGCCCAAUACUGACGCUGAGGCGCGAAAGCGUGGGGAGCAAACAGGAUUAGAUACCCCAGUAGUCC